rnacentral:rRNA from 1 species
GCAUAAUCACUUGUUUCCUAAAUAGAGACUAGUAUCAACGGCAUCACGAGGGUUAAACUGUCUCCCACCCCCCAUCAGUGAAACUGAUCUCCCCGUGAAGAAGCGGGGAUACAGCUAUAAGACGAGAAGACCCUAUGGAGCUUCAGGCAAUGCAGGCACCAUUACAAAACAAAACCACACAUAUACUAAAUCUGCCUGCCAGCCUUAGGUUGGGGCGACCGCGGAGUAAAAUAAAACCUCCACAACAAACAGGACUACACCUUAAUCCAAGAGCCACCACUCCAAGAAUAGAUAAAUCAAUGUAAUAUGACCCGAUAAUCGAUCAAUGAACCAAGUUACCCUAGGGAUAACAGCGCAAUCCAUUUCUAGAGCCCAUAUCAACAAAUGGGUUUACGACCUCGAUGUUGGAUCAGGGUAUCCCAGUGGUGCAGCCGCUACUAAAGGUUCGUUUGUUCAACGAUUAAAACCCUACGUGAUCUGUUUC